GAGCAGCUCUGCAUCAGUCUCGUGCCGCGGCACUUCGGGGAUGCCGGGCGGUGCUCUUCUGAUCCCGGAGCCGUCUCCUCCUUCCCUCCCUCUGCCCGGCAUCACAAAACAUUUACGUGGCACCGCACGGUUACAAUCACACACCCCGUCCCUGGGCCCUCUCGCUGUCGGGCUGACACAGGAGCUCCUCGCCCACCCCGCUCCUCCUCCCGGCCGAAUGACGUCCUGGCGGCACGCAGCUCCCCCGGGGCAGAGAGAGGAGCAGCAUCCCUUGCAACGAGCAGAAAAGGGGAAGGGAGAGGCGGCGGGAGGGGACGCGGAGGGAGGGGUUUAGUGCUGCCUUGCAUAGGGGGGAAGGGGAGGUUUCGGUGCCUGAGAAAAGGCGAGGCGCAGCGCUGCCCAUCGCCCUCCUCGCCAAUUCCCCGAGCGCUGGGCUUACUUUUCCACCCAGCCGCCUGUUUCUCCGCUCUCCCAUUGCCCGGCUUCUUUUUUCCUGUAUUAUUGAGCGAGUUUUCUUUUCUUCCCCUUCUCCUUUUCCAGUGGGUGGGGAAAAGAAGAAAACCCGUUGUUUUAAAUCACACAGACCGAAGGUGGUCCGUGCAAACUGCUGCAGGGAACCUGCUUUAGCAGCGGCUGGACUGGAUGAUCCCCAGAGGUCCCUUCCAAGUCCUGAGAUUCAGCGAUUGCUGUAAAACAGAACGGGAAGGAUGCAGAAGCCACACAUUUAGCAGGGAGCACACGUGCUUUUUUCUUUCUUUUUAUCAUUGAUAAUACCACACUGUCUCCUUAGCUUCAUAAAUAUUUCCUCUUCUGAAAAGCAAAUGUCAGGCCAGCUGUGUAAGUAAGAUCUGCCUCCCGAGUGCAGGUUGCCUUCAGGCUUUGUUGCUCUGUUCCUUACUUCUCAUCCUCCCCUCCUCCCUAAUUCCCUCUUUCAGGAGCCACAUGCAUUACAGCCCACCAGAAAUGCUUUCUCAGAAGAUUUUCUGGGCCAGGAAAGAGAGCUUGUCAAAAAUCACAUCAUGACACAGGGAUGUGUCAGUAGCACUGGAAACUGAUAGCAUUUGUUUCCAUUUUCUGCUGUGACACAAUACUCAAUGUCUUCAAAGUUACGUAUCAUCUAUGAAAUAAAUUUCUAUUUUGAUCCUACUGUAUGGGGAUGAAGUCUCCCUACCUUAGAUCUUCUUCCUGCUCACAAUCAUCAGGAACACUCUUUGUUCUCCCAUUAGUACAUAUUUUACCUUUCAGGACUGUGCCUAUGAUACAUGAAGGAUCCUCAUAAAACUUUGGUUUGAGGUGAACAGCUGUGGCUAUUGGUGAUUUUUUUUUUAAAUAAACAGUUAAACUAACAAACAUUAACUCACAGAACACAGGAGUCAGUCCCCAUAAGAAUUACAACAUUCCCUUUCAGGAGUUGCUGCAUAUUGCUUCCAUACAGAAUAAGGACAUGCUUCAUAGGAGCUCCAGCUCUGCUUAUUUCACCUCUUUUAAUAAGAUAUAGAAUGAACCUUGGUGCUGCAAAGGGCAGUCCUGCCGGCAGCCAUAGAGGAACAGAGUCUCUGCAAGUCUGCAAAGCUGAUAUGAUGUGGGCAACGUCAGGAAAAGCCUUUCUUGUCACAUCCCCCCCAUACUUAUCCAAUGCAGCUCACCUACCCACCCAGAGGAAGGUUCUUCCAGAGUGCUCAUUAUAUGGUGAUAAUUUUCCCACCUUGAGCUGCACCACUGCCUCACCCACAUGUUGGAAUUAGCACAGUUCUAGGCAAUGCAAAUAAAAACUUUUGCAUUUUGAGUAAAAUCCUACUUCUCUUGCCACGAGUGAAACUGCUAACAGGCACUGCCAUCUGCUGGCGCCAUGUCCUGCCACUGAUUUCUCUACAAAUAGAGAAAGGGUUUAAAGUGGAUUCUCCCAGCUCCCGCUGGUCUGUGAGCUUGUAGAAAUCUGUAUUUCCCGACACUCCACCUGCAUUAUUCAGCUAGAAACGAGACCUCUCCUCUCUUGAGGCAUCAGCUCAUGAGCAGUUGCACCAUCCUGGUGCUUCUCUUUGCAAUCACACCGUGCUGCGCUCAGAUGGCAGAGCAGGGCAUGCUGUAAGGCUGCUGCUGUCCCAGGGUGUGAUGCACCAGGAGCAUUAAUAAGCACAGCAAAGACAGUGCUUGAUGUACUUCAGAGGUCCAUCAGGAGCCUCCUAGCAAGCACUGUUUACCUUCUGCAUGGUCCAUGUGUGUGCAUCUUGGUGGAGUUUUGUCACUUGAUUUUUGUUUCCUUAUUCUUACACUCUAAAUCUCUGCACUGUUUUCCCUAUUUCAACAUCUUCCAGUUUGCACUGACUGAAGAUCAGGCAGAUCUGAAAAGUACGCUUUGUGACUCACUGACAUCAACGUGCCCUUGCUAAUGUGGUUUAAAAGCUGCUAAGAGCCUCACGAGCUUGGAACAUAAUGAAUUAUUCUGGGUAUCAGAUUGCUGCAGGACAGAUUUCACAGAUGAUGGUAGUACAGUUUGGGAUUAUUCUCAGACCAGCAUGGAAACAGGGAAACGCAGAGAGAAUGCUUCUGAGUCAAGGAGGCAAACUUCUCCCACUGUUUGGGAUGAAAUUCACCUCGGAAAGCAUCCCUUAGGAUACAGUGGUCCAAGUCUAAAUAGUCAUGCUCUUUCCUCUCUAACUGCAAAAGACAAGCAGUACCAGAUCGCAUCUAAAUCAGAGCCUUGCAAUAGAAUGGGAUGGGUCACCUGGAGUACAUGGGCACAGAUUUCACUUUGAUGCAACAUUUUGGUUUUACUGGGGGUGCUCUCCAGCUCCAGCAGCUGUGCUUCACUGCUCAUAGGGCCCAUAGAGAUGAAAUCACGGCAACCCAGAAUGCUCAGUUCCUGGAACUGCAAACAGAACAGGAUUGGAAGAGCAAACUUUAAUCUUGUUUAGGUGUAACAAAAUAGCUCUCUGAGAACAUUAUGUAUAUAGAAAGCUAUCAUAAAGCAAACCUUAGUUUGGAUUUGUGUUGGAUUAAGCUCCAUUUCCUUAAGUUUUCUUUGCACAUAAAUGAGCCAUCCACCCCAAUGGACACAGACCAGCCCAUGGCAUUUAUUACCCAAAGGGACAGAUUUCAGUCCGAGCAGCAGUGACAGAAUCUGUACUUUGCCCUGGAAUGAGUGGUGGCUCUCAAUGGCUUUAUGUGUGCUGAAAGGAGAGGGCUCAGCAACUCUAGGGAACAUUUCAAUUUGCUGUGCGGGUUGAUCCCUGGAACAAGGCAGCCUCCUCCUGUUUAUCAACCAUCAGUCCACCAUCCCACCAGGAGGAAACAGAGUUGUAAGAGCCAAUGCUGGAAGAUCAUCUCUAAAAUCAUCUCAUCCACCUCCACUCUUCCCUGAUGCUCUCAGCCGAAUGGGAGCAGAGCUUCCAAGUAGAUCCAAACUCAGUGACAGUCACCCCUCUGCCUCGAGGUCCUGCUGUGCUCUGAGGCUCAUUCAAACCCCAAACUCAAAGUGAAAUUUGGGAAGUAGGAAAGAACGGGAAGAAAAAAACAGCAAGAAACCCGAAUUCCUGCACCUCAGUUAAGUGUGAGCAGAGGAGUCUGCUUGCCUUUUCCUUUGAUAUGAUAAUGAGAGCUAAUACUAACCUGGGGAAGGAGACAGCUCUUCCUACAGCUGUCUGGGACUCCUGCAGAACACUGAUCCACAC
ensembl:lncRNA